rnacentral:snoRNA from 1 species
UAGCAAAUUAAUAUUAAUAAUUGGAAAGGACCUAUAGUGCUUGCUAGAACAUUUUGGAACGGUUUGAGGCCUUGCCCUGCUGCAUCUGGAGCAAAGUUAUAGAAAUUUCAGACAAUC